UGGGGAAUCUUGCACAAUGGGCGAAAGCCUGAUGCAGCGACGCCGCGUGAGGGAAGAAGGCUUUCGGGUUGUAAACCUCUUUCAGAAGGGACGAAGCCACUCAGGUUAAUAGCCGAGAGGGUGACGGUACCUUCAGAAGAAGCCCCGGCUAACUACGUGCCAGCAGCCGCGGUAAUACGUAGGGGGCAAGCGUUGUCCGGAUUUAUUGGGCGUAAAGAGCGUGUAGGCGGCCAUGCAGGUCCGUUGUGAAAACUCGAGGCUCAACCUCGAGACGCCGAUGGAAACCGUGUGGCUAGAGUCCGGAAGAGGAGAGUGGAAUUCCUGGUGUAGCGGUGAAAUGCGCAGAUAUCAGGAAGAACACCCGUGGCUAAGGCGGCUCUCUAGUACGGUACUGACGCUGAGACGCGAAAGCGUGGGGAGCGAACAG
rnacentral:rRNA from 1 species